rnacentral:rRNA from 1 species
CACGGGGGGAGCAAGCGUUGUUCGGAAUCACUGGGCGUAAAGGGCGUGUAGGCGGCCAAGUAAGUGAGAUGUGAAUCCCCCGGCUUACCCGGGGACCUGCAUCUCAUACUGCUUGGCUUGAGUAUGGGAGAGGAUGAGGGAAUUCCUGGUGUAGCGGUGAAAUGCGUAGAUAUCCUAAGGAACACCGGUGGCGAAGCGGCUCACUGGAUCUCUCUGACGCUGAGGCAC